UGGGGAAUUUUGGACAAUGGGCGAAAGCCUGAUCCAGCAAUGCCGCGUGUGUGAAGAAGGCCUUCGGGUUGUAAAGCACUUUUGUCCGGAAAGAAAUCCUUGGCUCUAAUACAGUCGGGGGAUGACGGUACCGGAAGAAUAAGCACCGGCUAACUACGUGCCAGCAGCCGCGGUAAUACGUAGGGUGCAAGCGUUAAUCGGAAUUACUGGGCGUAAAGCGUGCGCAGGCGGUUUGCUAAGACCGAUGUGAAAUCCCCGGGCUCAACCUGGGAACUGCAUUGGUGACUGGCAGGCUAGAGUAUGGCAGAGGGGGGUAGAAUUCCACGUGUAGCAGUGAAAUGCGUAGGGAUGUGGAGGAAUACCGAUGGCGAAGGCAGCCCCCUGGGCCAAUACUGACGCUCAUGCACGAAAGCGUGGGGAGCAAACAGGAUUAGAUACCCUGGUAGUCCACGCCCUAAACGAUGUCAACUAGUUGUUGGGGAUUCAUUUCCUUAGUAACGUAGCUAACGCGUGAAGUUGACCGCCUGGGGAGUACGGUCGCAAGAUUAAAACUC
rnacentral:rRNA from 1 species